UCUUUGCUGGCGACCGGCGCACGGGUGAGUAACACGUAUCCAACCUGCCCUUUACUCGGGGAUAGCCUUUCGAAAGAAAGAUUAAUACCCGAUAGCAUAAUGAUUCCGCAAGGUUUCAUUAUUAAAGGAUUCCGGUAAAGGAUGGGGAUGCGUUCCAUUAAGUUGUUGGUGAGGUAACGGCCCACCAAGCCUUCGAUGGAUAGGGGUUCUGAGAGGAAGGUCCCCCACAUUGGAACUGAGACACGGUCCAAACUCCUACGGGAGGCAGCAGUGAGGAAUAUUGGUCAAUGGGCGCUAGCCUGAACCAGCCAAGUAGCGUGAAGGAUGAAGGCUCUAUGGGUCGUAAACUUCUUUUAUAUAAGAAUAAAGUGCAGUAUGUAUACUGUUUUGUAUGUAUUAUAUGAAUAAGGAUCGGCUAACUCCGUGCCAGCAGCCGCGGUAAUACGGAGGAUCCGAGCGUUAUCCGGAUUUAUUGGGUUUAAAGGGAGCGUAGGUGGACUGGUAAGUCAGUUGUGAAAGCUUGCGGCUCAACCGUAAAAUUGCAGUUGAUACUGUCAGUCUUGAGUACAGUAGAGGUGGGCGGAAUUCGUGGUGUAGCGGUGAAAUGCUUAGAUAUCACGAAGAACUCCGAUUGCGAAGGCCGCUCACUGGACUGCAACUGACACUGAUGCUCGAAAGUGUGGGUAUCAAACAGGAUUAGAUACCCUGGUAGUCCACACAGUAAACGAUGAAUACUCGCUGUUUGCGAUAUACAGUAAGCGGCCAAGCGAAAGCAUUAAGUAUUCCACCUGGGGAGUACGCCGGCAACGGUGAAACUCAAAGGAAUUGACGGGGGCCCGCACAAGCGGAGGAACAUGUGGUUUAAUUCGAUGAUACGCGAGGAACCUUACCCGGGCUUAAAUUGCAGUGGAAUGAUGUGGAAACAUGUCAGUGAGCAAUCACCGCUGUGAAGGUGCUGCAUGGUUGCCGUCAGCUCGUGCCGUGAGGUGUCGGCUUAAGUGCCAUAACGAGCGCAACCCUUAUCUUUAGUUACUAACAGGUUAUGCUGAGGACUCUAGAGAGACUGCCGUCGUAAGAUGUGAGGAAGGUGGGGAUGACGUCAAAUCAGCACGGCCCUUACGUCCGGGGCUACACACGUGUUACAAUGGGGGGUACAGAAGGCAGCUAGCGGGUGACCGUAUGCUAAUCCCAAAAUCCUCUCUCAGUUCGGAUCGAAGUCUGCAACCCGACUUCGUGAAGCUGGAUUCGCUAGUAAUCGCGCAUCAGCCACGGCGCGGUGAAUACGUUCCCGGGCCUUGUACACACCGCCCGUCAAGCCAUGGGAGCCGGGGGUACCUGAAGUACGUAACCGCAAGGAUCGUCCUAGGGUAAAA
rnacentral:rRNA from 1 species